rnacentral:rRNA from 1 species
UACGUAGGGGGCGAGCGUUGCCCGGAUUCACUGGGCGUAAAGCGGGUGUAGGCGGUUCUUUAAGUCGGAUGUGAAAUCCUGCGGCUCAACCGCGGAACUGCAUCCGAUACUGGGGAACUUGAGGACGGUAGAGGUCGGUGGAAUUCCAGGUGUACCGGUGAAAUGGGCAGAUAUCUGGAGGAACACCAGUGGCGAAGGCGGCCGACUGGGCCGAUCCUGACGCUGAGACCCGAAAGCCAGGGUAGCGAACCGG